rnacentral:misc_RNA from 1 species
AUUUCGCAGAAAGUCUCAAACGCGCAACACAAGGUGGAAAAUUUCGACUUUAUCUACGUUGAUUUUUCUCAUCAACAACCACAAAUCAAAAUAGAAUAAAGGUUAGGUGUUGAAUUAUUGAUGAAGGUAAUGAUGCAGUCACAAGCUGUUAUGAGAAGUCUGUCACCGAUAUUACACGUGGAAUAGAAAGAAUGGGAAGUUGAGAUAGCCG